CCUUCCUUUUCUUUUUUUUUUUUUAAUGGGUUUUUUAAUGGGUUUUUCAACGCAGGCACCUUGUCGACCCGGGGGAGGCCUUCGGGAGGUUGCAAUCGGGCUAAUGAUACGGUGCAGGCCGGACGGAGAAAGGGUGCCAAAAAGAAAGAAAGAAAAAAAGGAAGCCCGCGCCGUUUUCAAAAGCCGUCCUCGGAGGAGUCUGCAGGAAAGAAAGGAAGAAAUCAUUUGCCACUCAACCAGUCGGUUAAAAUCCUGACUCGGAUUAUAUAACCACCAUUAGUUGGGAGCCUGCGACAUCACAGCGCUGUGUCAUCACGCCAACAACACAACACACCCAACUUCAUUGUGACUUCUGCACAACACCUGUUAUUAGCAACACACUUUGGACAGAUGGGAAGGUUCACAUCACCAAUAUCCUGGAUUAUCCCGGGAAUCAACAAUGAGAGUGAAAGGCUGUUUUAAUCUCUACUCACAAGAACUACUUAACGAUCCGUCUCGCUGAAAAACGGUGGUAUAACAUGGUAAAAAAAAAAAAAAUCAACCAACCAGCAGAAACCAGCUUCCCGUUCGAAUGUGGAAUCAUUAAUCCUAAGAAUGAAUUAAAAAUGAAUUGAUGAAAGAUGAGCUGCCCAAGCUGUGAACUUGAAAGUCUUUCCCGUCAUUCUCAGGCUUAAUUGAGGAUGCCCAUUUUACAGGUUGUGACAUUUUAAACCCUAUAAUGGGCUAAACUCCAGCCUUAAAUCUCCCGAAACUAAGGAUUGUAAUCCAUUUGUUUUCAACUCGCAACUGCUUUGUGAUCAGCAGUGUGUCAUGAAAUGGUGGACUGUUGCACACCUGAGAAACGCAGAAGUUGGUUGCUUAAGAAUUCUUCCUGCCGUAAUAUCAAGAUCAAGGGAGGUACUAAUACCACUCUGUAAAGCCUUAGUAAGACCACACCUAGAAUACUGCAUCCAGUUUUGGUCACCAGACUAUAAAAAAAGAUGUUGAGACUAUCAGAUAUAUAUUGAUGGUCGUGCUCAUUUGGUUCUAUGAGGAAGUUAUUUGGUCAAUACAGCUUCAGGUUCAAAAGGUUGCUUUUAUUAUUUACAAAUAUAUACAUGUAUACGAUAAUGAACAGGGUGUCCUGUUACAUUUUUUACCCUAACUACUCAGAUGUUGAGAGGAGAGAGAAGUUCACGUGUUGUCUCGCUGAGAGAUAGAUGAGAGAAAGAGAAAAAAAAGGGAAGAUAUCCAAGUGGUUUCUAGGUAAGAGUCCAAUAAGAGAGUUCAUUGGCUGAUGUAGUCACAUGUGAUGUCUGUAAAGACUUAACCCCUUCUAGUCUCUGGUGCAUCAUAUGCAGGCAAUAUCUGACAGACCCCUUCUAUUGCCAAGUGUGAUGGAACAGUGUUCAAAAAUAAUAAUAAACACAAAUAUAAGAAAAAAUAAAUUAUAAGUACAGUCCAACUGAUUUGCAGUGGUUCCAAUGUAUUUCACAAGAUACAGGUUUAGUUAAGAAAUCGGCAAUUUGGUCCUUGGUAUCGCAAUGAACAAAUUCAA